rnacentral:rRNA from 1 species
GACGAACGCUGGCGGCGUGCUUAACACAUGCAAGUCGAACGGACCUUCGGGUUAGUGGCGAACGGGUGAGUAACACGUGGGUGAUCUGCCCUGCACUUUGGGAUAAGCCUGGGAAACUGGGUCUAAUACCGAAUAGGACCACGGCAUUCAUGUGCUGUGGUGGAAAGCUUUUGCGGUGUGGGAUGGGCCCGCGGCCUAUCAGCUUGUUGGUGGGGUAAUGGCCUACCAAGGCGACGACGGGUAGCCGGCCUGAGAGGGUGACCGGCCACACUGGGACUGAGAUACGGCCCAGACUCCUACGGGAGGCAGCAGUGGGGAAUAUUGCACAAUGGGCGCAAGCCUGAUGCAGCGACGCCGCGUGAGGGAUGACGGCCUUCGGGUUGUAAACCUCUUUCGCCAGGGACGAAGCGCAAGUGACGGUACCUGGAGAAGAAGGACCGGCCAACUACGUGCCAGCAGCCGCGGUAA